rnacentral:rRNA from 1 species
UACAGAGGUCUCAAGCGUUGUUCGGAUUCAUUGGGCGUAAAGGGCGCGUAGGUGGCCCGGUCAGUCAGUGGUGAAAGCGCGGGGCUCAACUCCGCGUCGGCCAUUGAUACUGCUGGGCUGGAGCACUGUAGAGGCAGGCGGAAUUCCGGGUGUAGCGGUGGAAUGCGUAGAGAUCCGGAAGAACACCGGUGGCGAAGGCGGCCUGCUGGGCAGUUGCUGACACUGAGGCGCGACAGGCUAGGGA